rnacentral:rRNA from 1 species
AUUGAACGCUGGCGGCAUGCCUUACACAUGCAAGUCGAACGGCAGCGGGGGAGAAGCUUGCUUUUCCUGCCGGCGAGUGGCGAACGGGUGAGUAAUACAUCGGAACGUGCCCCGUAGUGGGGGAUAACUAGUCGAAAGAUUAGCUAAUACCGCAUACGACCUGAGGGUGAAAGUGGGGGACCGCAAGGCCUCAUGCUAUAGGAGCGGCCGAUGUCUGAUUAGCGAGUUGGUGGGGUAAAGGCCUACCAAGGCGACGAUCAGUAGCUGGUCUGAGAGGACUAUCAGCCACACUGGGACUGAGACACGGCCCAGACUCCUACGGGAGGCAGCAGUGGGGAAUUUUGGACAAUGGGCGAAAGCCUGAUCCAGCAAUGCCGCGUGUGUGAAGAAGGCCUUCGGGUUGUAAAGCACUUUUGUCCGGAAAGAAAUGGCUCUGGUUAAUACCUGGGGUCGAUGACGGUACCGGAAGAAUAAGGACCGGCUAACUACGUGCCAGCCGCCGCCGUAA